rnacentral:rRNA from 1 species
CCUACGGGUGACAGCAGUGAGGAAUAUUGGUCAAUGGGCGAGAGCCUGAACCAGCCAAGUCGCGUGAGGGAAGACGGUCCUAUGGAUUGUAAACCUCUUUUGUCGGGGAGCAAAAAGGCCUCGUGAGGCCACAAGUGAGAGUACCCGAAGAAAAAGCAUCGGCUAACUCCGUGCCAGCAGCCGCGGUAAUACGGAGGAUGCGAGCGUUAUCCGGAUUUAUUGGGUUUAAAGGGUGCGUAGGCGGACUGGAAAGUCAGCGGUAAAAUCGAGAGGCUCAACCUCUUUCCGCCGUUGAAACUGGUCUUCUUGAGUGAGCGAGAAGUAUGCGGAAUGCGUGGUGUAGCGGUGAAAUGCAUAGAUAUCACGCAGAACUCCGAUUGCGAAGGCAGCAUACCGGCGCUCAACUGACGCUGAGGCACGAAAGCGUGGGGAUCGAACAGGAUUAGAUACCCUUGUAGUC